CGGGUCCGGACACACUGAGGAUUGACAGGUAACGUUAUACACACAUAUAUUUACUCUCGGGUAUUUAUACUGCUGUGUAUAUAUAAAAUAUGCUAGUCCUUUCAUGAUUAUGUGAUAGGUGGUGCAUGGCCGUUCUUAGUUCGUGGAGUGAUCUGUCUGCUUAAUUGCGUUUCACUAAGGAUCUAUAUUCAUAUUACGCAUAGCAUUUUGACCCCUUUAUGCUUCGGUAUAAAGCUGCGCGUCAAACCUUGCUAUCUGCGUAUAUUAGAUCCUGAAAGCAACGAACGUGACCGCAACCUCUUGUUGCCUUUAACUAGGUUUUGCUUACGUAUAGCUUCGGCUUUACGCUUUGCAUCUAAAAAGGCUGAUUUUCUAAACUAGAGGGACCGCUGUUACUUUCUUAAACCAGAGGAAGGUUGCGGCAAUAACAG
rnacentral:rRNA from 1 species